rnacentral:rRNA from 1 species
UACGCUGGCGGCGUGCCUAAUACAUGCAAGUCGAAUGGUAGCAAUACCAUGGCGAACGGGUGAGUAACACGUAGGUAACCUGUCCUUAAGACGAGGAUAACCAUUGGAAACGAUGGAUAAUACUGGAUAGGAGUGAUUGAGGCAUCUUGAUCACUUUAAAGAUUUAUCACUUGAGGAGGGGCCUGCGGCGCAUUAGCUAGAUGGCGGGGUAAUAGCCCCACCAUGGCGAUGAUGCGUAGCCGGACUGGGAGGUUGAACGGCCACAAUGGAACUGAGAACGGUCCAUACUCCUACGGGAGGCAGCAGUAGGGAAUUUUCGGCAAUGGGCGAAAGCCCUGACCGAGCAACGCCGCGUGAACGAAGAAGUUAUUUCGGUAUGUAAAGUUCUUUUAUUGGGGAAGAAAAAAUCAAAAUUGACGGUACCCAAUGAAUAAGCUCCGGCUAACUACGUGCCAGCCGCUGC